AAACUAAUUUAAUUUGGCAGCAUUUUAUCUACUUAGAGGAAUUUGUCCUUUAAUCGAUACCCCACGAUAAAUUUCACUUAAAUUAAAAACUUAUAUACCGCCAUCUCAAGAAUUAAUUCAAAAAUAUUCCUCAAAAUAAAUUACAAAAAGUUAGGUCAAGGUGUAAUUUAUAUUAAAGAAUGAGAUGAAUUACAUUAAAUAAUAUUUAAAGAUUAUUAAUAUAUAUAUAAAUAUAAAUUAGGAUUUAAAAGUAAUUUACAUAAUAAUAAUAAAAAAUGAUAAAGAUAAUAAAUGUGUACACAUCGCCC
rnacentral:rRNA from 1 species